UACGGAGGGUGCAAGCGUUAUCCGGAUUUACUGGGUUUAAAGGGUGCGUAGGUGGGUUGGUAAGUCAGUGGUGAAAUCUCCGAGCUUAACUCGGAAACUGCCAUUGAUACUAUCAAUCUUGAAUAUCCUGGAGGUGAGCGGAAUAUGUCAUGUAGCGGUGAAAUGCUUAGAUAUGACAUAGAACACCAAUUGCGAAGGCAGCUUACUAAAGUAUGAUUGACGCUGAGGCACGAAAGCGUGGGGAUCAAACAGG
rnacentral:rRNA from 1 species